UGGUCUGCGCAUGCUUUGAGAGAACCUGUCCAGUCAUUUUUCAUGUUUCAUUCUUUAGAAUGAAAGGUUGUUAUAUACAGUACAGGGCAUGAGUCCAUUGCGUCAUGCUUUGCAUGAGACACACCAUAAACGUAUCAUUCACAUCCCCAUAAGCAAUGUAUCCAAUGCUCUCCACUAGUACCCCAGCCAAUAUGCACUGCUAACCAAAAAACUGUGUACGCUUUGAGUCACCUGCAGUGAAGUUGACUGAGUGAUGCUGAUGACCAAGUCAAGCCACUGGUUUGAGAGAGCCUGCUAUAAUACACAUACGUUGCUUAGGUCUAGCCAAUUCCCUUCCCCACASUCCUAGUCUAAAAUGCUGACCUCUCUCCUCCAUCCUUCCUUGUAUCCUACCAUUCUUAUCCCCGCUCUCUGUUUCUCUUUAGAUCCAUCCGACGGUAGCUCAUGGCAGUCUAGGAACAGCCUUACCAUGUGGUAUCAGUCUAGAGGAACAGACUGGCAGGGCCUACAAUACUAAGAAGGGGGCUUUCCACGAGGUCUUCAAUCUUUCCGGGGAUGAGCGCCCCCUAGCAGUGUGUGAGAAUGGCUGGCGAUGCUGCUUGAUCAACAGGGACAGGAAGAGUCCCACAGACUACAUCCGUAAUGGUGUGCUCUUUGUCACUGAAAAUUACCUUUGCUUUGAAGGCUCAAGCUGCAGGUCAAAUUCCUCUAGAAAGAACAAAGUCAUCAAACUGAUUGACAUCACUGAUAUUCAGAAGUACAAAGUCUUGUCUGUAUUACCUGGAUCUGGAAUGGGAAUCUCCAUAGCAACACCGUCCACCCAGAGGCCGUUGGUGUUUGGUGCCAUGAUCCACAGGGACGAGGCCUUUGACGCCAUCUUCACACAGUAUACGAAGAAAGUGACCAUGACCACAGCCACCAACCCUGAGACCUAACAUACCAAAAUGGCUGCCUUCACCAGGGAUGUCCUAUACUGACACAGCGAGUUCUCUAUGUAGUACACUGCUACUGGCCAAUUAGUAUAUCUGCACGUAUGUUAAGCUAGUGUCCAUGCCAAGGUGGUGGAUUCCUCCACCAAGCCACAUUAGGUUAGUAUGUCAGGAUGGUAUCCACUUGAUCUGAGGMCUGGUCCAUCACUAUAGAGCCCAAGGUCUUCUUAUCCUCUCGUUGAUAACCACAACUCCUCAUUAGGUCUAACUAAGGAACUACAACUCCUGGACCCGCACACCAUCGCUGCCUCCUACUGGUUCGGUCGAGGCUAUUGCAUCCAGGGAAGUAACCUAUAGAGCCUAGAGAGCACCUUGUCUUGAUUUGCUGCUGUUCUGUACUCGGGUAAUAGCUUUUCAAUUCUAUCUCUCUUUUUGUUGUCAGUUUUUAUUUGUGCACGCGUGCGAGAAUGUGUGCUGCUAAAAAGCGUAUGUGUGUGUGUGUGGUGGGGGGGUGAUCAUUUUAUGGUCAACACUGUUGUGCUGUUUCAGGAGGAGGCUGGAUCUCUUUGCCUAUCAGACAGGACUGCCUGGCAUUCCCAUUUUGUGUAUCACACACAUUGAUGCUCUUUGCUCCACUUAAUGCUCUCCUUCAAUAGGAUGUAUUUGGUUUGAUAUACUGUAUAUAUCAUUGGUGGCCUUGCACACUUAACUCACAUUUUGUUAAGUGCACCCGAAACCACGUUCAUGAAAACCUCAAGCCUUCAUGUUCCCAGAUAAUGAAUGUGCUUUAGAUAUCAUUUCUGCAAUAGCCUUUAGGUGUAACUGUUUUAUUUAGCCUUUUUUCUGAGAGUGGAGUGGAGGGACGGAACGGGAAUCAUUUAAUGAUGGGCAGCCAAAAGUCAAAAGCCUGAAGUUAUUGUAGUCGAUAUCUUUCUCACACACAUUGUUGUCUUGGCAAAGAAAAGGUAUGGAUKUACAUGUCCAUGUUAAGGAGUCAUGAUGCAUUCAUAAGCACCGCAUAAACAUGACCUAAUGUCAACACCGUCUUUCUGAAGCCUCAGAGUAUAAUAUGUAGAACAAUAUGUGAUUUGUAAUAUGUGACAUUCCACAUAACUAAUUGGAUCAGUAAAAACGAUAACUUAUGUAGGUUUUGUGGAAUGUUUAUGAAUGUACUSUAAGUACUUUAUGGGACAGAUUACAUGUAAAGCAAUUAAAAAAAAAUCUAUCUCCAAAAAAGCAGGAGCCUUUUCUACACUGCCUUGUUCAACCAGUCUCAAUGAAGCCUUAUCUAAUUCUCUCACAGAUUUAGGCCAGGAUUCAAACCAAUGCAGCACUGCACUUUCUACUGAUUCUGACGUGUAACUUCAGGUAAAUUGCCAUUGGAUCACGAAACCACAUGUUCUUAAAAGUUGAGUGCAGUGCAGUGCAAUGCCAGUUAUUUGUGUCAGUUUGAAUCCCGGACAAAAACUUUGGCAAUAAAGUUUUCUUUUGGGUUUUGACAGCAAACGGGAAUGGGGUUUAUAGUAAAAUGCUAGUGACCUUGUCAAGAGGUUUGGACCUCUUGGUGUAAUGGUUAAGGUGUUGGCUUGAAGGUCGCUGGACCUGGCUUUGAGUCCCGAUCGGGUCUACGCCCUGAAUUCGCUACAUUGGUGUCAGAAGUGGGAUGGUGUCUGUGAGGUCAUCGGAGAGGCGUGUACACCUGAGGGACUUGGUAUAGAGAAAGUAGGGGGGGGGGGGGCACUCUCCCGAAGGAAGGGGGUAAUGUAGCAUCAUUAACCCAACACCUAGCGACCUUGUCAAGAUGUUCAGAGCUCUUGGCGUAACGGUUAAGGUGUUGGCUACAAUAUGUUCUAGUUGAGCACAUGCUAGGGAGGCUAACUGGACAUUUGCUUGAUGCCUUUUAGUCUACACYAAGUAACUUAGGUAUCUCACUCUCCAAGCCCCUCGAAAAAGUUAGAUAUACUUAAGAAGCACAGUAUGUACUGUAUGUAUGCCAAAAUGUUUUCUUCAUUUCACUGCUUGUCAUUUAGUUCUUUCACCCUAUAUCUGUAAUGUUUACAGAUGUUAGGUUCUAAACUCCACUGCUUUAAGUCAGUUUGAUUCCUUGUAAGACUAUGAGGUCAUGAAGACUGACCGGUACGUCUUGUGAUGGAGCACUUCUGAAUGCUGAUAAACCUGARUGGUCACAUCUCAGCCAAUCAAAAACUUCACCUGGGUUUAGCCACACUCUUUGCAAGUGGAUGGUGAAUUGAAAGGUGUCAAUUCGUGGAGUCAUGUUGCUUCCAAAUCUGUUUGAAUCAGCACUGUCUGAACAAUGUCAAUUUAUGGCAUGGCCGUCAACUUGAAGAUGGAAAGUAAUCAUUAUAGUACCGUGUGUGUCCCAAACCAUCGAAGGUGUCGUAAAAAAAAUAGCCUCGCUAAUCGAUCAUGCCCUUGUUGAUCGAUCAUCCUUUUCGUCGCUUGCAAA